CAGCCGCCGCGGUAAUACGAAGGGUGCAAGCGUUACUCGGAAUUACUGGGCGUAAAGCGUGCGUAGGUGGUGGUUUAAGUCUGCUGUGAAAGCCCUGGGCUCAACCUGGGAAUUGCAGUGGAUACUGGAUCACUAGAGUGUGGUAGAGGGAUGCGGAAUUUCUGGUGUAGCAGUGAAAUGCGUAGAGAUCAGAAGGAACAUCCGUGGCGAAGGCGACAUCCUGGGCCAACACUGACACUGAGGCACGAAAGCGUGGGGAGCAAACAGGAUUAGAUACCCCCGUAGUCCCUGUCUCUUAUAC
rnacentral:rRNA from 1 species